rnacentral:miRNA from 1 species
UGCCUUGGUCGCACGGUUGCA